AAUUAUUAAUUAAAUCUAAACGCCUGAGUGUAGGUCUUUUAAAUAGUCUGUAAAUAAAAUGGGGAAGUAUGAAUAAAGCACUUCUGAAAGGCCAUAUUUUCUUCAGGUACUUCAAUCAAAACAAAUUAUGACAUCAAACUGAAUAGAAGCAGGUAAGAAAACCUGGAGGCCAGGCACGGUG